UAUUACGGUAUGUCAGUAUCAGCAAUCGCCAAUUAACACAAUCUAAAAAUAGCACAGUACACACCUGUUUGCAGAAUGUCAUCAGUGCGUGACCUUGUUAAACUCUUAUCAAUAUACCAGUAGAGUGAUAAAUUACGUCAGGCACAGUGUGUAAUUAGGGAUUAAGUUUGAUAUAGGAAACCAUUAGCUUGGAAUUUUGGAUUUCCGGGAGAAAUAAUUGAUUUCCGUAUGUCCGGGAAAUGGACAAAAAAUCCGUGAGACUCCCGGACGAUCCGGGAAACUUGACAUGUAUGAUGUAGUUGCAGUCUGUCUUUGGAAGCUGUAGAAAUAACAAGAAAGAGGCUGACAUAGUGUUUUGGUAGGGAAAAGUUGUUUGAGUAUGUACAUGUACAGUUGUUUGACCUGUCUUACCCUGUGGCAGUCCAAGAAGAUGUUACCAUUAUGAAAAAUGCAGGAGAACUUGAAGACAAUUGUUAGUGCAGAAGGGACAUAAAAGUUAUGACAAAAGUAACAGAUAUAAAUAAGAAGUGCUACAAGUGUGUUGUCAUGUGAAAUGGAAUUUACCCCAACUGUGCUGCAAGAUGUAUAUUCAAGUGCAAGACAGCCAUGCACCAGCUGUAAACUGAGAUGGACCCAUAUAAUAAAUAUGUUGACUUUUCUAUGUAUUAUCAUCUGUACAGAAUGUGUUCAUGACAAGACUGUAUACAUAUAUUGUUAAAUCAUUUUUAUUUCCAUUAUUGCAUGCAUGUAAGAAGCAAGCAUUUAACAAUUGCAUUCAUAGAAGUGUUAAAAUGUGAUCAAUCUAAUUUAAAGAAACACAUUUAAUUGGACUUUUUAAGUUUCAUAGUAUUUGUGGUGGAGACUGACCCAGUCAUUCAGCAACUUAUACUGUCUGUGUGUCAUUUCUUGUAUGUUAUAGUUUUCUUAAUAAUACAUUAACUGUCAAAGUUAUGGUAAGAUGAACUCAUUCAUCACUUGUAGAUUAAUGUUAAAGCAGUUCAACAUUUUAACAUAAGUUAACUAAUAUUCUAUUUAACCACAGUUGUCACAUAUUUUCAUAUAAAUAUUUGUAUAAUACAGUCUAAUCUAAUCUACAUAUGAUGUUCCACAAUUUUUUAGUUAUAUUUUAUGUUGAUAUUUUAUGUUGUUUUCAUGUCUCAACAUAUAAUUACUAUCAUCAAAGAAACUUAAGUAUUUUACAAUUUGGUUGGUAUAAAUGGUUGUUUUGUUUAUAUAUUUUAUUUUUUUCCAUCCAGGAGAAUAAAGAAAUGUACAUUUCAAAAUAUCUCAUCAUUCUAGAUAAGUACACUACAUAAUCAAGAUAAAAGAAAUAAAAACAAAAUAUGUUGGUGGAAUUUUAUUUUCAAAAAUUUGAUAUACAGUCUUUGUAGUAUUUACUUCUUUAGAUAUGUUGGACUGAAAUGGGAAUAACAACAUACUUUAAAUUUUUGUAGUCAUAAGUUAAUAUGGGAAUUAUUAACUUAACUUAAAAAGAUUUUAUCUCACUGUUAUGCCAUCUGAGCUUUAAUAUUUUUCAACAUUGUCAUUGGCAACAAGGAUCAAAAUUAUUUGUUGUGUAUACCUUGCAUUCAUGUGUGAUAAAUGCUUUUAUGGUAUUCUUUAAUAUAAUUUAUGCUUUUCGUCUUACCAUGGAUUAAAAAAAUAUGAAUUUAUUUGUCUGAAAAUUAAGGUAAAAAUACUGACUGAUUAAAUUGCAAUAUAAGAAAGCUUAUUUGAGAUAAAGGGAGGUAAUUCCAUAAAAAAAAUAUGUAGAAUGUAGAUGAUAAAUGUAAUGAAGGGAGGUAAUAAAAUAUUGUGAAGUUAUUAGUCUUCAUUUCUUUGAUGAGCUAAUUAAUUGUUUUACAUUUUGGUUUAUUAACUACAAGUAUGACCUAACAUGUGUACCUGUCCUGAAGGAAAAUAAAAUAGGUUGUUUGA